rnacentral:rRNA from 1 species
UACGUAGGGUGCAAGCGUUGUCCGGAAUUAUUGGGCGUAAAGAGCUCGUAGGCGGUUCGUCGCGUCGGCUGUGAAAACCCGAGGCUCAACCUCGGGCCUGCAGUCGAUACGGGCGGACUGGAGUUCGGCAGGGGAGACUGGAAUUCCUGGUGUAGCGGUGAAAUGCGCAGAUAUCAGGAGGAACACCGGUGGCGAAGGCGGUGAUCUGGGCCAGUACUGACGCUGAGGAGCGAAAGCGUGGGUAGCAAACAGG